ACCAACGUUAAACCAGAUAGAACCAGAACGGGGGAUAGAAGAAGAUGGAGAGUUUCAUUUAAACCUUCCAAGAAAGGAAAGGAAAGGAAAGGAAAGGAGCUAAACUGCAUCAUCUGUGUGCUGUAUGUGUUAGUGUGUGACUGUGUGAGAGAGAAAUGAGUGCCCUUUGCGUGCAAUUGAACAUCAACAGCAGAGGUGGUUGUUUAGCAAUGGCAGUUGCCCAGCAGAGCAGCAGCAGCAGCAGCAACAGUAGUACGACAGUUCAACUUCCUGAGGAAAAGGUUGAGAAGAAGAAGAAGAAUUCCAGAGUCUUGAUAUUGGGAGGCACCGGAAGAGUUGGUGGCUCCACCGCUAUUGCUCUCUCUAAACUCUCCCCUGACUUGCAGAUAAUCAUUGCUGGUCGAAAUAGGGAAAGAGGUGCUGCUAUGGUGGAUAAAUUAGGAGACGACUCAGAAUUCACUGCAGUCAAUAUUGAUGACUCUAAAUCAUUGGAAGCAGCUUUAGUUGAUGUGGACCUUGUUCUUCAUACUGCAGGGCCAUUUCAACAGGCUCAGAAGUGCACUGUCCUGGAAGCUGCCAUUCGGACCAAGGUGAGAGAAAGACAGCAUAUAUUGAUGUAUGUGACGAUACAAGCUAUGCAUACCGUGCCAAAGCUUAUAUGGAUGAAGCUGUGACUGCAGGCAUUCCUGCCAUAACAACUGGUGGAAUCUAUCCAGGAGUUAGUAAUGGUGCUAUUAAGUUUCUUCUGAACUUCCUAUGCAUUCUAAGGCCUGCUUCAAAUACUGAGAGAGCCAAAAACAGAAAUUGGAUUGCAGAAAGCAAUAUCUUGCUAAGCAGACACUACAUGAGCAAUGCUUUAUGUCUUUGUUUUCUAUAUGAAAAUUUUCUUGAUAGCUGGAACUCUAUUUCUUCAUUUCAAAACUCAAACUUUUCUAAUCUGAGAUCACCAAUAGUUGCUCUUAUUUACCGAUAACUUGCUGUGUUGUAUAUCUUAGUACUCCUUACAAAAUGGCCACUGAUUCUUCCAUGCUUCCAGCCCUAUAUUUGGAAAAAAUUCUCUUUCUGUUUGUUCAUUUUAGGUCAUAGAUCCUCCUGGUAAAGUUGUACUCCCACAUGUUUGAAACGUGCAGAACCUUAUGUUUUCUUAACGAACAAAUCCUGAUUAUCAUUCUAGAAAAGCAAAAUAUUUUGCCUUGACUGUUAAUGUUUCUCCAUAUAUUAAAACUUGAUUUUCUGAACCAUCGCUGGGCAGUUAUGGCAGCAGAACUUGUUCGUGUGGCCAAAAGUGAAAGCGAAGUAAAACCAGAGAGGUUAAGAUUUUACUACUAUACAGCUGGUUCUGGUGGUGCUGGCCCAACAAUAUUGUCUACUAGCUUUUUACUUCUUGGAGAAGAGGUAGUUGCAUAUAACAAAGGGAAAAAAAUCAACUUAAAGCCCUACAGUGGAAUGCUCAACAUUGACUUUGGAAUGGGGAUCGGGAAGAGGGAUGUUUUUCUUUUAAAUUUGCCAGAGGUGCGUAGUGCUUAUGAGAUCCUUGGAGUACCAACUGUCAGUGCUCGGUUUGGAACUGCACCAUUCUUCUGGAACUGGGGAAUGUUGGCCAUGACAAAUCUGCUACCUGCUGUAUGCAACUUAUUAAUUUAUUCAUCUUUAUUAGAAAGUUAAACUUUUGCAUAGAAUUAGCCACAAAGUACAGUUGACAAUUGCUUUUAGUUUAGAGUGAGGGCUUUUAUGCUACUGCUUCAUUGCUUCAGAGUAGGUCUUUCUCCUGUUUAACAUCAUCUCUUCUCUUAUCAUUUAUCAGCUUAAUGUUUUGUAAACUUAGGCACAAGCUAUUGUCUUUUCCAUUCAAUUUGAUAAAAUUCCUCAAAUUGAAAUAAUUACAUGCAGUUUAUCAGUGUGCUUUGCUCAUUCAUAGUUUUCUGAUUGACUGGAGAAGACUGCCACAUGCCCUGGUCCAUUGUUUGUCUUCCUCGCGUGAAAGGGAUAGAAAUAGUGAGAAGUAAAUUGAUAGGGUAAUAUGAGUAUGCCCUGCAUGUCGCUGGUGUUUAUACAGUAUGGCAGGCAGCAAUGAAGCUAGACAAGCUUCUGUUGUCCGAGAACAUAAUGAGUCAAUGAUGCUAGUAACUUUAGCUCUUUCUACUGUCCUUGCAUGAUCCUGCCAAAAUAUGCAGGAAUUUUUAAGAGACAGAAGCAAAGUUCAACAACUGGUGCAAGCGUUUGAUCCACUAGUACGAGCAGUAGAUAAGUUUGCUGGAGAGAGAGUUUCAAUGCGGGUUGAUCUGGAGGGUUCUGAUGGAUACAAUAGAAUAGCGAUAUUCAGUCAUAGACAGCUUUCUAAAUCAGUUGGAAAUGCAACAGCAGCAUUUGUACUUGCAGUUCUUGAAGGAAGCACACAACCUGGUGUUUGGUUUCCAGAAGAGCCUCAGGGUAUUGCUGUUGAGGCUAGGGAAAUGCUUCUCAAGCGGGCUUCACAAGGAACAUUGAAUUUUAUAAUGAACAAGGCACCAUGGAUGAUAGAAACAGAUCCUAAGGAGAUUGGAUUGGGAAUAUAUGUAUGACAUUCUCAUCUAGGAACGUGAUUCAAUGGCUUAAUUGUGUAGCUCAUAUCUAACUUCACAUUACUGGUUCUUAAAGCUGAAGCAAGCUCAUGUUAAUAAGACUCGUAAUUCACAUGUACCGCCAUAUCAGUGUCUUGAUUCAUGAGGUUUUGGAAUUCAGCUACAUAAUCUCUUUUGUAUUGUUGCAUAUUAAAAUGUAAAUUGUUAGACGAUGGUUUCUUCCCAACAAAGGGAAGACAAAAUGACAUUUUGAAGAAUGAGAAUCAAGGCCAAAAUGUAGGAGAUACAUGAAAUACACGGCAUAUGGAACAUUUUGAUGUACUUAAAUCAGGCCUUUAAGUUGAAAUUUGUUAAAUGUAUCUUGGAGCAUUUCACACAAUGCAUGUUUUGCUGCUUUGGAGCUAA